CCUGGUGGCUGCAGUGGCAGGUUGGCGUGGCUGGGUGCAGGAGGACAUUCCUAAAAGCUGUGGGCAAGCGCGGUUGUGGACAGGAGUGAUCGCGCUGCGGCUGGUACCUGGAUGUGGAGUAUAGCCGCAGGGAUUGCACCAGUGGCUGCCCCUCCUCCUCUACUCCGGAUAGCACGGCGCGUUGCCGGCACGG